rnacentral:rRNA from 1 species
GACGAACGCUGGCGGCGUGCUUAACACAUGCAAGUCGAACGAUGAAGCCGGAGCUUGCUCCGGUGGAUUAGUGGCGAACGGGUGAGUAACACGUGAGCAAUCUGCCCUUGACUCUGGGAUAACUGCGGGAAACUGUAGCUAAUACCGGAUACGACACCUUGGGGCAUCCCAGGGUGUGGAAAGAAUUUCGGUCAAGGAUGAGCUCGCGGCCUAUCAGCUAGUUGGUGAGGUAAUGGCUCACCGAGGCGACGACGGGUAGCCGGCCUGAGAGGGUGACCGGCCACACUGGAACUGAGACACGGGCCAGACUCCUACGGGAGGCAGCAGUGGGGAAUAUUGCACAAUGGGCGAAAGCCUGAUGCAGCGACGCCGCGUGAGGGAUGAAGGCCUUCGGGUUGUAAACCUCUUUUAGCAGGGAAGAAGCGAAAGUGACGGUACCUGCAGAAAAAGCACCGGCUAACUACGUGCCAGCCGCCGCGGUAA